AGAUGUCCAUCAUCCCUCAGGACCCGGUGCUGUUUACAGGCUCCAUGAGGAAGAACUUGGACCCCUUCAACCAGCACUCUGAUGAAGACCUGUGGAGAGCUCUGGAGGAGGUGCAGCUCAAGUCUGCGGUGGAGGAGCUGCCCGGGAGGUU